GCAGGGGUGGGAGAGUGGUUAAUUCCAGCGGACUGUAAAUCCGCCGCCGCAAGGCUACGCAGGUUCGAAUCCUGCCCCCUGCACCA
rnacentral:tRNA from 1 species